CCCUGGGGCUUCCGCUUCCGGUUCUGACGGACGCUUCGGCCGUAACGAUGAUCGGAGACAUCCUGCUGUUCGGGUAAUUAGGGGGACCAGAGGCUGGGAAGAGAGAGCCAGGCAGGACGCGGGGGCGCCCCUAGUAACUGUAAUUCUCCCUCUGCAGGACGUUGCUGAUGAAUGCCGGGGCGGUGCUGAACUUUAAGCUGAAAAAGAAGGACACGCAGGGCUUUGGGGAGGAGUCCAGGGAGCCCAGCACAGGGUCUGCUUGGCCACUCAGUGCAGCUGCGAUUAACCCUAAAGGCUUUAAGGAACGGGCCACCUGUAACAGAGACACCAGCCUUCCUGUAUAGACACUAAAUUGUUAGCAAGAGUGUUGAGCUAGUUCCUGGUGAAGUGUUUCCACAGAAGACAUGUGGAGCAGUUGUGGGGAUAUUAAGGGAAACUUUCCUCUGCCUUGACCCCUUUGUUAAAUAAAAUGACUUUGGGAGCCAUUCAUUGUACAGUUGCAGGAAUGAGAGUGAUUUUAUGAUGUGGUACAUUGGGACCAUGUUCUAAAACCUUGGGUUUCUGAGUCUGCUUUUUGAGUAGGUGAUUUUGAGGUUGAAAAACCAGGGGCCUUCAUCUAGGAAAUACAGCAUUUUCCAGAAGCUUCUUUGAAAGGGAAUCCUGGUUUUGUUGCCAAAAUGAAACGCCCGGGGUUGGCGCUGAAUCCCACAACUGUGUGAUUUGCUUGUUGAGUUUUUUGUUGUCUGGUUUUUUUGUUUGUUUGUUUAUACCAAUAAGAAUGAGCCUGAAUGUUGGUGGUUUUUGAAAUCCUGACUUGGAGGUAAACCUGGAGGAAGGAAAAAAAGUAAAUAUGCAGGCUUUUAGGACUGAGUAGCCUUGAAAAUAAACCUCAUUUCU
rnacentral:lncRNA from 1 species